rnacentral:rRNA from 1 species
UGGUGGGGUGACUGCGUACCUUUUGUAUAAUGGGUCAGCGACUUAUAUUCUGUAGCAAGGUUAACCGAAUAGGGGAGCCGGAGGGAAACCGAGUCUUAAUUGGGCGUUAAGUUGCAGGGUAUAGACCCGAAACCCGGUGAUCUAGCCAUGGGCAGGUUGAAGGUUGGGUAACACUAACUGGAGGACCGAACCGACUAAUGUUGAAAAAUUAGCGGAUGACCUGUGGCUGGGGGUGAAAGGCCAAUCAAACCGGGAGAUAGCUGGUUCUCCCCGAAAGCUAUUUAGGUAGCGCCUCGUGAAUUCAUCUCCGGGGGUAGAGCACUGUUUCGGCUAGGGGGCCAUCCCGGCUUACCAACCCGAUGCAAACUGCGAAUACCGGAGAAUGUUAUCACGGGAGACACACGGCGGGUGCUAACGUCCGUCGUGAAGAGGGAAACAACCCAGACCGCCAGCUAAGGUCCCAAAGUCAUGGUUAAGUGGGAAACGAUGUGGGAAGGCCCAGACAGCCAGGAUGUUGGCUUAGAAGCAGCCAUCAUUUAAAGAAAGCGUAAUAGCUCACUGGUCGAGUCGGCCUGCGCGGAAGAUGUAACGGGGCUAAACCAUGCACCGAAGCUGCGGCAGCGACGCUGAUGCGUUGUUGGGUAGGGGAGCGUUCUGUAAGCCUGCGAAGGUGUGUCGUGAGGCAUGCUGGAGGUAUCAGAAGUGCGAAUGCUGACAUAAGUAACGAUAAAGCGGGUGAAAAGCCCGCUCGCCGGAAGACCAAGGGUUCCUGUCCAACGUUAAUCGGGGCAGGGUGAGUCGACCCCUAAGGCGAGGCCGAAAGGCGUAGUCGAUGGGAAACGGGUUAAUAUUCCCGUACUUGGUGUUACUGCGAAGGGGGGACGGAGAAGGCUAUGUUGGCCGGGCGACGGUUGUCCCGGUUUAAGCGUGUAGGUGUGUGUUCCAGGUAAAUCCGGUUCACUUUAACACUGAGGCGUGAUGACGAGGCACUACGGUGCUGAAGCAACAAAUGCCCUGCUUCCAGGAAAAGCCUCUAAGCAUCAGGUAACAUCAAAUCGUACCCCAAACCGACACAGGUGGUCAGGUAGAGAAUACCAAGGCGCUUGAGAGAACUCGGGUGAAGGAACUAGGCAAAAUGGUGCCGUAACUUCGGGAGAAGGCACGCUGACACGUAGGUGAAGUGAUUUACUCAUGGAGCUGAAGUCAGUCGAAGAUACCAGCUGGCUGCAACUGUUUAUUAAAAACACAGCACUGUGCAAACACGAAAGUGGACGUAUACGGUGUGACGCCUGCCCGGUGCCGGAAGGUUAAUUGAUGGGGUCAGCGCAAGCGAAGCUCCUGAUCGAAGCCCCGGUAAACGGCGGCCGUAACUAUAACGGUCCUAAGGUAGCGAAAUUCCUUGUCGGGUAAGUUCCGACCUGCACGAAUGGCGUAAUGAUGGCCAGGCUGUCUCCACCCGAGACUCAGUGAAAUUGAACUCGCUGUGAAGAUGCAGUGUACCCGCGGCAAGACGGAAAGACCCCGUGAACCUUUACUAUAGCUUGACACUGAACAUUGAGCCUUGAUGUGUAGGAUAGGUGGGAGGCUUUGAAGUGUGGACGCCAGUCUGCAUGGAGCCGGCCUUGAAAUACCACCCUUUAAUGUUUGAUGUUCUAACGUGGACCCGUGAUCCGGGUUGCGGACAGUGUCUGGUGGGUAGUUUGACUGGGGCGGUCUCCUCCUAAAGAGUAACGGAGGAGCACGAAGGUUGGCUAAUCCUGGUCGGACAUCAGGAGGUUAGUGCAAUGGCAUAAGCCAGCUUGACUGCGAGCGUGACGGCGCGAGCAGGUGCGAAAGCAGGUCAUAGUGAUCCGGUGGUUCUGAAUGGAAGGGCCAUCGCUCAACGGAUAAAAGGUACUCCGGGGAUAACAGGCUGAUACCGCCCAAGAGUUCAUAUCGACGGCGGUGUUUGGCACCUCGAUGUCGGCUCAUCACAUCCUGGGGCUGAAGUAGGUCCCAAGGGUAUGGCUGUUCGCCAUUUAAAGUGGUACGCGAGCUGGGUUUAGAACGUCGUGAGACAGUUCGGUCCCUAUCUGCCGUGGGCGCUGGAGAACUGAGGGGGGCUGCUCCUAGUACGAGAGGACCGGAGUGGACGCAUCACUGGUGUUCGGGUUGUCAUGCCAAUGGCACUGCCCGGUAGCUAAAUGCGGAAGAGAUAAGUGCUGAAAGCAUCUAAGCACGAAACUUGCCCCGAGAUGAGUUCUCCCUGAGACUUAGAGUCUCCUGAAGGAACGUUGAAGACGACGACGUUGAUAGGCCGGGUGUGUAAGCGCAGCGAUGCGUUGAGCUAACCGGUACUAAUGAACCGUGAGGCUUAACCUUACAACGCCGAA